rnacentral:rRNA from 1 species
AAUGACUCUCGGCAACGGAUAUCUCGGCUCUUACAUCGAUGAAGAACGUAGCAAAAUGCGAUACUUGGUGUGAAUUGCAAAAUCCCGUGAACCAUCGAGUCUUUGAACGCAAGUUGCGCCCGAAUCCAUCUGGUUGAGGGCACGUCUGCCUGGGGGUCACGUA